rnacentral:rRNA from 1 species
UUCGUCCUUUCUAGGAGCGUCAUAGUGACUCAAUAGGGACAUACGGGGGCAUCAGUAGUGCAUCGUCAGACGAUGUAAUCUGUGGGAUAUAUUGUAGGACCAGCUGCAGCGAAAGCAUUGCGCAAGCAUGUUGUUCAAUGAUCUGUGAAUGAAACAUGAGGGAUCGAAGGGGAUCAGAAGACCGUCGUAGUCUGUCCGUAUAUUAUGCCGAAUAGGGAUCGGGCGAGGAUCGGACUGUGUUUCUCUCGGCACCUUACGCGAAAUAAAAGUAAUCAAAUUCCUGGGGGAGCAUGGUGACAAGGCUGACACGUAAAGAAAUUGACGGAAGUGCACCAACAGCCGCGGCACCUGCGGCUUAAUCUGCCUCAUCACGGUGAACCUCACCAGGUCCAGCUGAAGUAAGGACUGUCAGGAUGAGAGCUCUGUCAUGUUUUUUCAGGUGGUGGUGCAUGGCCGUUCUUAGCGGUUGGAGUGAUUGGUCUGCCUAACCGCGAUAACGAACGAGACCUUAGCGUGCUAAAUAUCCAGACUAGCUUUCACUGGUCCCCCACUUCUUAGAGGGACUAUCGGCUCAAGCCGAUGGAAGUGAGAGGCAAUAACAGGUCUGUGAUGUCCUUAGAUGUUUUGGACCGCACGCGCGCUACACUGACAGAGCCAACGAGUUCUUCGCCUCCCCGAAAGGUCUGGGUAAUCUUCUAAACUGUGUCGUGCUGGGGAUAGAUCAUGCCAAUUAAUUCUCUUCAUCGAGGAAGGCAUAGUAAGCGCGUGCCAUCCGCAAGCGUUGAUUGCGUCCCUGCCCUUCCUACUCACCCCCCGUC